UACGGGGGGGAGCAAGCGUUGUUCGGAUUUACUGGGCGUAAAGGGCGCGUAGGCGGCGCAACAAGUCACUUGUGAAAUCUCCGGGCUUAACCCGGAGCGGUCAAGUGAUACUGUCGUGCUAGAGUGCGGAAGGGGCUACUGGAAUUCUCGGUGUAGCGGUGAAAUGCGUAGAGAUCCGGAAGAACACCGGUGGCGAAGGCGGCCUGCUGGGCUGUUGCUGACGCUGAUGCGCGACAGCGUGGGGAGCAAACAGGAGUUA
rnacentral:rRNA from 1 species